rnacentral:rRNA from 1 species
GAUGAACGCUAGCGGCAGGCUUAACACAUGCAAGUCGAGGGGUAGAGGAAGCUUGCUUCCUUGAGACCGGCGCACGGGUGCGUAACGCGUAUACAAUCUACCUUUUACAGAGGGAUAGCCCCAGAGAAAUUUGGAUUAAUACCUCAUAGUAUUUUCGGAUCGCAUGAUUUGAUUAUUAAAGUUCCAACGGUAAAGAUGAGUAUGCGUCCCAUUAGCUAGAUGGUAAGGUAACGGCUUACCAUGGCAAUGAUGGGUAGGGGUCCUGAGAGGGAGAUCCCCCCACACUGGUACUGAGACACGGACCAGACUCCUACGGGAGGCAGCAGUGAGGAAUAUUGGACAAUGGGCGCAAGCCUGAUCCAGCCAUGCCGCGUGCAGGAAUAAGGUCCUAUGGAUUGUAAACUGCUUUUAUACAGGAAGAACACACCCUCGUGAGGGUACUUGACGGUACUGUAUGAAUAAGGACCGGCUAACUCCGUGCCAGCAGCCGCGGUAAAG